GUGUCAAUAUCAUUCAAACACUACUACAGCGUCUCCUCGCCAGAAAACAGUUCAACUGAAAGGUGGUGUAUAUACAUACAGGAUGUGUUCAGUGAUAUUUCUGCUUGUAUUAGCCGCUUCUCCGGCGUUGAUAUCUACCAGACUGGUCAAUAGUUAUGACAACUUUCCAGAAGAGUCAAUUGACGCACGUGAAAAAACUUCACUAGGGCCAUAUUCCACCAUGGACGAUAAAACAGACACCACGGACAGGUACAACAGAAGAGAAUCAGUUGAUAACUAGAAUAACUGCAUUGGAAGAAACGAUUAAACAUCUGGGUCACAAACCGGUUGCUUUUCACGCUGUGAGGGACGGUAACGAAUAUCCUCAUCUUGGAAUCAAUCAACACAUUGUAUUUGGUACAGUCUUACUUAACAUCGGGAAUGGAUACAGCGCCCACCAUGGCAUUUUUACUGC
rnacentral:lncRNA from 1 species